AGAGUUUGAUCAUGGCUCAGAACGAACGCUGGCGGCGUGCUUAACACAUGCAAGUCGAACGCGAACGAGUUCUUCGGAACUUUAGUAGAGUGGCGCACGGGUGAGUAACGCGUAAGUUAUCUACCCUCCCAUCUGGAAUAACCCACCGAAAGGUGUGCUAAUACCGGAUACGUUGAUUUAUCAAGAAAGGUGGCCUCUAUUUAUAUGCUACCGUGGGGGGAUGAGCUUGCGUACCAUUAGCUAGUUGGUAGGGUAAUGGCCUACCAAGGCAACGAUGGUUAGCGGGUCUGAGAGGAUGAUCCGCCACACUGGAACUGGAACACGGACCAGACUCCUACGGGAGGCAGCAGUGAGGAAUAUUGCGCAAUGGGGGAAACCCUGACGCAGCGACGCCGCGUGGAUGAUGAAGGCCUUUGGGUCGUAAAAUCCUGUCAGAUGGAAAGAAAUGCUAUUGGUUUAAUAUGCCUUUAGUUUGACGGUACCAUCAAAGGAAGCACCGGCUAACUCCGUGCCAGCAGCCGCGGUAAUACGGAGGGUGCAAGCGUUGUUCGGAAUUACUGGGCGUAAAGCGCGCGUAGGUGGCUUUUUAAGUCAGAUGUGAAAGUCCACGGCUCAA
rnacentral:rRNA from 1 species